UGCAGGGCCGUAGGCUAAUAUGCCCGAGAGCGAAGGCCAUUUACAUUUAUGCCCCCCGUCGACGCUGCAUUUGUAAUAAUUUGCAAACUGUGCUCAAAGCAAUUCUUUAGAUGCGGGAGUGAAAAUUACUGAGCUUGGACUUGAUGUUUGGUACCAGUGAAUGACAAGAGCCUUGCGUCCUGAGUCCCUGACCGGCUUCAGCCAGCUUAAGCUCGUCAAGAUUGUCCAAUGAAGAAUUAUGAGUAUUGGAGCAGUAAACUUAAAGCAGAAAUUAGCAAUUUGGAUGUGAUGGAUUCGGAAACUGAUGCCAAUUGUUGACACUAUUCGGCGUUGGAGCUCCCUUUGAGUUUGGAGAGUGAACAUCCAUUCUUUCUUCGGAGAUCAUUGUUCUGAACACUGCCACAUUCUUUUCUACCCAACUGCCUGGUGAGUGAUCCUUAAAUCAUAACAUAUUGCUUGUCCAAUAUUAUAAUUGUACUAGGCAGAGACAUAUUGUUUAUUACAUUUGCUCAAAAUAUCGUACAAUAGACACUUAAAAGUAGGGCCCUGUAAUAUUUUUUGAAUUAAAUUUUGGAAUGCAACCAUUGCAUACGCUGUCUGUGAGCUGCUUCGGCCAGACUCUGCUCGUGGUUUGAGUUAAUCGGAUUGCCGCCCUGAGUGCCCCAUCUGCUGUGAGCUUGCAUAGGCCAACUGCUGCGAUGAAAUGUGGGAGUCAGUGUAUUGUCUGUGAGCUGCUUCGGCCAGACUUUGCUUAUGGUGUGAGCUGACGUAGUGGCCGCCUUGAGUGUUGUUUAAUGUUGGACCAGCCUGA